rnacentral:tRNA from 1 species
UCCCUAGUGGCUCAGAUGGUAAAAGCAUCUGCCUGCAAUGUGGGAGACCUGGGUUCGAUCCCUGGUUUGUGAA